AUGGGUGGUGGUGGUGGUGCUCUGUUUAUUUUCUCUCUUCUCACUCAUCUCGUGGUUCUUCACUUUACCGAAGGAGAGAAAAUCUACAAACGCUGUCGUCCCCACUACUGUAAUGAUCAACUAAAGAAACUCCAGUUCCCCUUCAAAAGUAAGACGCAGCCUCCUGAAUGCGGGUUGUUCACAGUUGAUUGUUCUGAUCAACAUAAUCCGAGGAUCCAACUGAAAGAGAAAGGAUACUGGCAUGAAUUAGAGAGCAUCUCUCCAACAAAUACGAUUUUUAUACAUGACAAAGAGCUUCAGCAGCGCUUUAGAACAGAUUCCUGCAAUGAUAAAUUUUUCAACGAUUUGAGUCUUCCCAGCCCUUCUCCAGUCCUUGAAUUAUACGCAGAGAGACCGAUCCUCGUCAAAUGCAUCACCACACCAACCCUCCCCAUUACAGAUCUUAACAUCAUCUGUACAAAUGCUACUACUUGCUAUACUACUUGGUCUAAUGAUAGGUUACCAAGUCUCCCACCAUCGUGUUCAACCAUGCAACCUCCCCCAAGUCUCCCUUCAUUGGCUACUAAGUUCGACCUUCAACUGCACGUAAGCGAAGCAUGUUAUCGAUGUUAUGAUAUAAAAGGCGAAUGCGGUGUUGAUGACAAGGGAAAAUUUAAAUGUUCCUUCGGAUAAAAAGGAGAUAAAUUGGGAUUGAAGCUAGGACUAGUUGCUGGAGUUGCUGCCAUUGGAGUUCUAGGGGCUAUUGUUUGCUGUUUCUUUUGGAAGAAACAAAACCAAAGUCGUCAAGUUCAUAUUUGAUGCAAACACCCCAAAAAUAGAUCAUGG